UACGAAGGGGGCUAGCGUUGCUCGGAUUGACUGGGCGUAAAGGGUGCGUAGGCGGGGCUUUAAGUCGGGGGUGAAAUCCUGGAGCUCAACUCCAGAACUGCCUUUGAUACUGAAGAUCUUGAGUUCGGGAGAGGUGAGUGGAACUGCGAGUGUAGAGGUGAAAUUCGUAGAUAUUCGCAAGAACACCAGUGGCGAAGGCGGCUCACUGGCCCGAUACUGACGCUGAGGCACGAAAGCGUGGGGAGCAAACAGG
rnacentral:rRNA from 1 species